ACCUCAAAACUAGCCUAACCAAUUAUUAAACAUAACCCCAUUAAUUAAAUUCACACUCUUCCAAAAAUUAAAACAUUUUACAACUUUUAGUAUGGGUGACAGAACAAAGACCUAAGCGCAAUAGAUUUGAGUACCGCAAGGGAAAGUUGAAAAAGAAAUGAAAUAAAUAAUUAAAGUACAAAAAAGCAGAGAUUAAACCUCGUACCUUUUGCAUCAUGAUUUAGCUAGACCAACUAGGCAAAGAGACCUUAAGCCUAUCAUCCCGAAACUAGACGAGCUACUCCAGAGCAGCAUGAAAGAGCAAACCCAUCUCUGUGGCAAAAGAGUGGGAAGACUCCCGAGUAGCGGUGACAAACCUAUCGAGCCUAGUGAUAGCUGGUUACCCAAAAAAAGAACUUCAAUUCUGCAUUAACUUUUUUAAUGUCAACUAAGAACAUCUCCAAAAGACUGAAUAUAAAAAUUAAUAGUUAUUCAAAAAAGGUACAACUUUUUUGAAUCAAGAUACAACUUUUCAAGGUGGGUAAUGAUCAUAUUUACCAAGGACCAUUCCAUCAGUGGGCCUAAAAGCAGCCAUCUGUAAAGCAAGCGUCAUAGCUCCAGCCCAUAAUGAAACCUAUAAUUUAGAUAUUAUUUCCAAACCCCCUUAACCAAUAUUGGGUUAUUUUAUAAGAUUAUAAAAGAACUUAUGCUAAAAUGAGUAAUAAGAGGCUAAACCUCUCCCAACACCAGUGUAUAUCAGAAAGAAUUAAAUCACUGAUAAUUAAACGACCUCAAACUGAGAAAAUUAUAGAAAUUUAUUAUUAGCUAGAAAAACCUAUUUAAUUACUCGUUAAUCCUACACAGGAGUG
rnacentral:rRNA from 1 species